rnacentral:rRNA from 1 species
UUAGGAAUAUUGGACAAUGGGCUCAAUCCUGAUCCAGCCAUGCCGCGUGAGUGAUGAAGGCCUUCGGGUUGUAAAGCUCUUUAGCCGAUGAUUAUAAUAACUGUAUUCGGAAAAUAAGCCCCGGCUAACUUCGUGCCAGCAGCCGCGGUAAUACGAAGGGGGCGAGCGUUAUUCGGAAUCACUGGGCGUAACGCGUGCGUAGGCGGCUUUGUAAGUUAGAAGUGAAAGCCAAGGGCUCAACCCUGGAAUUGCACUUAAAACUACAAAGCUAGAAAUCGGGAGAGGAUAGCGGAAUUUCCAGUGUAGCAGUGAAAUGCGUAGAUAUUGGAAGGAACACAAGUGGCGUAAGCGGCUAUCUGGACCGACAUUGACGCUGAGGCACGAAAGCGUGGGGAUCAAACAGG